UACUCGAGUGGCGAACGGGUGAGUAACACGUGGGUGAUCUGCCCUGCACUCUGGGAUAAGCCUGGGAAACUGGGUCUAAUACCGGAUAGGACCAUGCCUUAGUGUGUGUGGUGGAAAGUUUUUUCGGUGUAGGAUGAGCCCGCGGCCUAUCAGCUUGUUGGUGGGGUAAUGGCCUACCAAGGCGGCGACGGGUAGCCGGACUGAGAGGUUGGUCGGCCACAUUGGGACUGAGAUACGGCCCAG
rnacentral:rRNA from 1 species